rnacentral:rRNA from 1 species
UAAGACGGAGGAGGCAAGCGUUGUCCGGAAUCAUUGGGCGUAAAGAGCGCGUAGGCUGUUUUUCAAGUCAUAUGUGAAAACCUCAGGCUUAACUUGAGGACUGCAUAUGAAACUGGAAAACUUGAGUGCAGUAGGGGAAAGUGGAAUUCCUGGUGUAGCGGUGAAAUGCGCAGAUAUCAGGAAGAACACCGGUAGCGAAGGCGGCUUUCUGGGCUGCUACUGACGCUGAGGCGCGAAAGCUAGGGGAGCAAACAGGAUUAGAUACCCUGGUAGUCCUAGCUGUAAACGAUGGACACUAGGUGUGGGGAGUUAUCGACGCUUUCCGUGCCGGAGCUAACGCAUUAAGUGUCCCGCCUGGGGAGUACGGUCGCAAGGCUG